rnacentral:rRNA from 1 species
GUAGUCCACGCCCUAAACGAUGUCAACUGGUUGUUGGACGGCUUGCUGUUCAGUAACGAAGCUAACGCGUGAAGUUGACCGCCUGGGGAGUACGGCCGCAAGGUUGAAACUCGAAGGAAUUGACGGGGACCCGCACAAGCGGUGGAUGAUGUGGUUUAAUUCGAUGCAACGCGAAAAACCUUACCUACCCUUGACAUGCCAGGAACUUGCCAGAGAUGGCUUGGUGCUCGAAAGAGAGCCUGGACACAGGUGCUGCAUGGCCGUCGUCAGCUCGUGUCGUGAGAUGUUGGGUUAAGUCCCGCAACGAGCGCAACCCUUAUCAUUAGUUGCUACGCAAGGGCACUCUAAUGAGACUGCCGGUGACAAACCGGAGGAAGGUGGGGAUGACGUCAGGUCAUCAUGGCCCUUAUGGGUAGGGCUACACACGUCAUACAAUGGCCGGUACAGAGGGCUGCCAACCCGCGAGGGGGAGCUAAUCUCAGAAAACCGGUCGUAGUCCGGAUCGUAGUCUGCAACUCGACUGCGUGAAGUCGGAAUCGCUAGUAAUCGCGGAUCAGCUUGCCGCGGUGAAUA